rnacentral:lncRNA from 1 species
GGCCUCUCCAGUGACUGUGCUGGUCUCAGGGCCACUGAGGGGGGACACUGGGAACCUGUCCUCCCCCAGCCCAAGCUGGCCGUCUGGCAGGGGAGUUCUGGUGAGAACGUCCUACUCUCCUUCACCCUGUCCCACGGCUUCUUGGUGGAAAACCUGGAGUGCUGGCCAGCCCCAGUGCCAGCCAGGCCCUGGGUGCCAGGAAGGGAUGCCCAGCAUCUACCUGAGGACCGUACGAAGGGCCCCUCCCUGGCCAAAUGACCUGCCCAUUCUGCAUGCAGACUCUCUGAUUGGCCAACUUGCUGCCACCUGACUUGGGGCGUCCUCCUCCUGGCCACUUCCCAUGGCGGCCCUGCUGGUGCAUCAACACUGUUCUAAUGCCUUUGACCAGAAUGGCAAGGCGGCCUCCACAGGCACAGACCAAGGAGUCACACCAGUGCUCCAGCAGCCCCUCAUCUGCCCAGCGCCCGGCCGGUUCAGUACCCAGAGAUUCCUGGCGCUCAGCCUGGAUGCCCGCACCCCCAGCCUCCCAGCGGCCUCUCCUCCCUCAGCUCAGCCCUGCCGGGAGGGUGGCAUAAAGGAGCGCCGGGCGGCCGCCCACUCUCUCCAGUGGCUGCAGCUGGGAUGCAUCCUGCAGGGGCGGAGGGCAGCAGCCAUGGUGCAGAGAGCAGCCUCCAUUCCCGGCGGCCACGCAGAGAGGUGCCCAGAGUCUGCAAGUACUUCCAGCGUGGCCUCUGCUUCCAUGGAGACAGAUGCAGCGGCUGCCUGGGAGCACAGCCCCGCCGAGAAGCCUCCACUCGCGGCCGACCUUGUCCAGGAGCUCUCGGGCGCCCUUCAGAGCCUGGACCUGGCAGAGGGCUCGCACGACAGCGACAGCCGGGACGUGGUGUGCGGCAUCUGCAGGGAGAGAGUGUGGGACAAGCCCGCGGCCG